rnacentral:rRNA from 1 species
GACGAACGCUGGCGGCGUGCUUAACACAUGCAAGUCGAACGGAAAGGCCCUGCUUUUGUGGGGUGCUCGAGUGGCGAACGGGUGAGUAACACGUGAGUAACCUGCCCUUGACUUUGGGAUAACUUCAGGAAACUGGGGCUAAUACCGGAUAGGAGCUCCUGCUGCAUGGUGGGGGUUGGAAAGUUUCGGCGGUUGGGGAUGGACUCGCGGCUUAUCAGCUUGUUGGUGGGGUAGUGGCUUACCAAGGCUUUGACGGGUAGCCGGCCUGAGAGGGUGACCGGCCACAUUGGGACUGAGAUACGGCGCAGACGGCUACGGGAGGCAGCAGUGGGGAAUAUUGCACAAUGGGCGGAAGCCUGAUGCAGCAACGCCGCGGGCGGGAUGACGGCCUUCGGGUUGUAAACCGCUUUCGCCUGUGACGAAGCGUGAGUGACGGUAAUGGGUAAAGAAGCACCGGCUAACUACGUG